CAAAAGCCAGAAAAGAAAAAAACGUAGACGUUCUUAAAUUAACGAAACUCUGAGCGGUAGGUUUGUUUUUUCUUCGUUGGAUCCCAACGACAAAAAAACGACCGACGUCUGUCCUUGUUGUCCGAACAAAGUCUGGUGAUAAGUUUGAUUCUGUCUGUUUACCAUUUUAACGGGCAGAGAACGUUGACGUCGUCGUCGUCAGCUUCGUUAAUUUAAGAGGCAAUUUACCUGUCACACUUGUCGCGAGAGUGUUAACGUCAACGGUGCGUAAAUGUAAAGUUUGGCUAUUUGUUGUUGACAAAACAUGUGUGUUACGUCUGGCUCUCACUCAAAGAGACAGAGAGAGUGACUGAGAAAAGAGUGUUCAUGCAUGAGAAUGAUUGACGAUCAUGGCUGUGAUUUCUUCCAACCCAGCCAAGACAUUUGUCGUCUUUGUGUGCGUCGCUGUUGCAUCGCUGCCUUCACUGUUGGCGUCUGCGUCGCCGUUGUUUCGUUUAAAGUUUAAACUUAGCUUAGCUAAAUGGCUUAACUCGCCAAUAUUUAGUCGCACGCCUAACGUUGACAUUCAUUGUUGUGUUGUGAAACUUAAACGCUUAAAAACACAAUAGCCGCCAAAACGAAAAGAAAAAAUAAUUGAAAAAAAUAAACAUUAAUUUUUGUACGGCCGGAUACAAUUGGAAAUUGUUGAUUAACCAACGACAGUAAAAAAUAAAAGAAAACCAAACGAUAACGCUUACAAAAUUUAUUUUUUGGAAUAGUUUAAAAAUA
rnacentral:sRNA from 1 species